GACGGUACCUGCAGAGAAAGCGCCGGCUAACUACGUGCCAGCAGCCGCGGUAAUACGUAGGGCGCGAGCGUUGUCCGGAAUUAUUGGGCGUAAAGAGCUUGUAGGCGGUUUGUCGCGUCUGCUGUGAAAGGCCGGGGCUUAACCCCGUGUAUUGCAGUGGGUACGGGCAGACUAGAGUGCAGUAGGGGAGACUGGAAUUCCUGGUGUAGCGGUGGAAUGCGCAGAUAUCAGGAGGAACACCGAUGGCGAAGGCAGGUCUCUGGGCUGUAACUGACGCUGAGAAGCGAAAGCAUGGGGAGCGAACAGGAUUAGAUACCCUGGUAGUCCAUGCCGUAAACGUUGGGCACUAGGUGUGGGGGACAUUCCACGUUUUCCGCGCCGUAGCUAACGCAUUAAGUGCCCCGCCUGGGGAGUACGGCCGCAAGGCUAAAACUCAAAGAAAUUGACGGGGGCCCGCACAAGCGGCGGAGCAUGCGGAUUAAUUCGAUGCAACGCGAAGAACCUUACCAAGGCUUGACAUAUACUGGACCGCAUCAGAGAUGGUGUUUCCCUUCGGGGCUGGUAUACAGGUGGUGCAUGGUUGACGUCAGCUCGUGUCGUGAGAUGUUGGGUUAAGUCCCGCAACGAGCGCAACCCUCGUUCUAUGUUGCCAGCACGUUAUGGUGGGGACUCAUAGGAGACUGCCGGGGUCAACUCGGAGGAAGGUGGGGAUGACGUCAAAUCAUCAUGCCCCUUAUGUCUUGGGCUUCACGCAUGCUACAAUGGCCGGUACAGAGGGCUGCGAUACCGUGAGGUGGAGCGAAUCCCUUAAAGCCAGUCUCAGUUCGGAUUGGGGGCUGCAACUCGACCCCAUGAAGGUGGAGUCGCUAGUAAUCGCAGAUCAGCAACGCUGCGGUGAAUACGUUCUCGGGCCUUGUACACACCGCCCGUCACGUCAUGAAAGUCGGCAACACCCGAAGCCCGUGGCCUUAUGGGGAGCGGUCGAAGGUGGGGCUGGUGAUUGGGACGAAGUCGUAACAAGGUAGCCGUACCGGAAGGUGCGGCUG
rnacentral:rRNA from 1 species